GUCCUUGAGACUGAAGCCCAAUAGACACUCUUCUACUAUGAUAUUUUGGGUCAUAGGAAACAAGCUUUAUGCUUUCCCUUCUCAUGUGCUGUUGACAGAUGGAUUGGUAGAAGUGUCCGGCCUAUUCCUAGUCUGUUUAGCAUUGACUGUGCACAUUUGGGAUUGUUGAAGGCCACACUGAUUCGUCUUCCUUUGCAACCUGUGAUUUCAUCCAGAAAUCACAUGGCUCACCAUGGAUUCUCAACAUCUGAAGAUGUGCUGUGCUGUUUGGAUCUCCCAGUUUUCACUCAUUCACCUCAACACUGGGUGGAAAUUCUUCAAUGACAGCAAGUGGAUGCGCUUUUUCCAGUACAACUAAUAGUUAAGGUUGGAUAUGAUGCAUUAAUCUGCUAACUGUGUACUAAAGUUCUAGAUAUUUCCUUGGCACAUCAGUUUUUCCCAUUACUGCAGCCUUUCAGGGUAUUGUGGGCCAAAAUCUCUGCAAAUUAAUGGAGUGUGGGGGGGAAUCCCAUUAACAUUCCUCUUUCAUCUUCUAGAAAUUUGCUAGGAUUCCUCAGCCGCAAGUGGUAUUCUGUCUUUUCUCUUGCUUAUUCUUUUGUAUGUCCUGUAUUUUCCUUUCUAGCUUUUGCAUUCAAUCUACCCUCUUGCCAGAGCACUUAAAGUUUACUUCGGAUGACAUGGUUGAAAUAAAACUGCUACACUGAC
rnacentral:lncRNA from 1 species